CUUCCAUCUCUUCUAUUCCAACAUAUCCCUUCUUCAAACUUUGAACAAUAGCUCUUUUCAAUUUCUUAUUUAUUUAUUACACUUCAGGUAUCAAAUUGCACGUGGUAAUUGAUUUUGAGCAUGGUGACGUGAGGUGUUUCAUGUGGACCAGCAUUUGGAUAGGGUCGUGCAUUGCCGCAAAGUUAGGUGGAGGAGUUGCGUGUCUCGAUAGCGAGCGCUGAUCGUUAUUCCAGUAGGGCUUCGGAGUCAGCAAGGUAGCUGCUUGGCAUUCGCAGCCAUGCACUUCUCCUUCUUACCUUACUCAGACUGUUUUUAGUAUCUCUAUUUCCGAACUAUGAUAGCCUUGUCGUACUUAAACAGACCUUGUAGUUGCUCGUGACUUGUGACACCCUGAUGUCGGGCUUGUGUUAUUUUUCUUCCGCACUGGUUAUUGAGA